rnacentral:lncRNA from 1 species
GAAAAAUAUACAAAAAUAAACAUCAUUGUAUAAUCAAUACAUUCUUUGCUCCACUCAGAAUCAAAAAGAAUUUUCUUUCAAACAGGUAAUUAAAUUUAAAUGAUUUAGUCCAGGAAAGAUAUAUUGUACACUUUAUAUUAAGUUUAUUAUAUUUAGAUAUUUAUUUAUACAUAUACAAGGUAAUUUUUUUUAUCAUAAACCAGCAAUUAUCUUAGAGUUUUUUGAGUGAAUUUGAUUUCUAUUUUUUUUUUUUUAAUCAUUAUGGAAUUGUUUAAGCUUUAUUUUAAAACCAUUCGUAAUUUUUUACCCCUAUGCGAUGUACCUUAAAUAAAUACAUACUUUUGAAUAGACAAUAUUUUUAUAGACAUUUUGAAAUGCAUAUUACCAAUAUCAGAUUUAUCAUUUAUGAGUUAUAACAGCUUAAUGUUUAAACCGGUGGAAUAGGGAAGGAUUAUAGAAAGGCAAUUUAUCACUAUGGUAUAUGGAGUAGGGGUAAAAAAUAAAAAAAAUGGUUUUAAAUUAAAGCUUAAAAGAUUCCAUAAUGAUUUAAAAAAAAAAACAAAAAUCAAAUUAAUUCAUAUAAAAUCACCUGAGAAAAUUUCAUGAUUAAAAAAUUACUUUGCCUGAGGAUUUUUUUUACAUUUAGAAAUUUUUUUGGCAGCUCCGGACCUAAAUUAUUUUUAAUAAUUUAUUUCCGAGUUUAUUUUUAAUUUUCCGAUAAAAUAUGUUUUGUAUUUAUUAUUUAAUUCUUUCAAUUCAUUUCCAUAUUUUUAGAUAAACAAAUAAUUAUUAUUUUUAUUUUUUUCAGAUUUGGCAUAGUCAGUUGUAAGUCCAAACUGCAGUCACAGAUGAGAUGAGUGAAUAAUUAUAUUAAACAGCGAUUCAUCCUUAAAUCUCCAGAGUAUUACUAAAAUACAAUCUAUCAUAAUAUUGACAAAUAUAUAUAUAAUAUGAAUCCUGGCUGUUAAGAAUGAGCAUCACUUUUAUUACAUUUUUUUACUUAAAUUAAUUCUUUAUUAGUUAAAUAUACUGAAAAAUUCAAUUAAUUACCACAUUAUAUAUUAUACUUUAUUAUGUUAUAUACAGCUAUUGAAUUUUUAAGAAAAAUGUAUUAUAAAACCUAAAAGCUUAAGUAUUAAAAAUAAUCUUUUAUUGCAUUUGUAAAAUACUGUAAAAGCAUUACAAAAUGAUGCUUAAAUUUUUUAUUAUAAUUUAGUUUAACAUUAGAUGUUGAUGUAAAUUAGAGAAUAUUUUUUUUGUCUCCUUGGAAAUGAUGAUGUUAUUGGUAAGUUUUGCUUUACCUAAUGUUAAUAUCUUUUUUUUAAGUGCCUAUUAGUUACCUAUAAUAUUUAUAGUUUUUCUUAUUUUACUAAAAUUCAAGGUUUCUUAAUUGUUUUGUUUUAUAAUUUGUCAUUAUUAUGUUGUAAUCCUAAUGUUAUUAAUUUUCAAUUAAAUUGGUAAGGCCUUUCUGACAAUGUAUUUCCAAUUCAAAAUACAAAAAUUCAUUAAUUAUUAGGUAAAUUAAUUUUUGAAAUAGUUUAUUUUCUUACACAACUAAAUUUACUCUAAAUUUUUUAAUUAAAUUGAUUAGUAUAGGGUAUUUUUUUUUUAAGUUUUCAGCCAUCGCUCACCAUAUCAAGAAAAAACUGAUUUAAACACAAAAGGUGAAGGAUACAAAUAAAAUUGAUCCAUGCGUUUGAAUAUUAAUUUGGAAGUUAAAUGAAGUUUCACAAGCUCAUCAAAUUAGGCUUUGAUAUAAAAACGAAAUUAAUGUCACAAACAUGUUUAAAUUCAAAUGAGAGAAAACAAUUGAGUGUUCAUGAAAAUAUGGAUUCGGCAUUUCGUAGACUGAAUUUUAUGUAAUAAAUGCAAAAGCUAAAAAAAUUGCUUAAGAAUCUGAUGUUGAAGUACAGUUCCCCAUAAUGAUGAACGUUUAUAAUAAACCAUUUAAUAAUUUAAAAAGAAAUCAGUUAUGAGAGUUGGUUGUAAAAUUUAAAUAAUUUGCAA